UUGCUGAACAUUAUUGCUGUUUACAGUUUAUCUCUAUCUAUAAUAAUAUUCAAGAUAAUAACCAAAAACAGCAAAAUUUCCUCAAAAUUACCAAUUCAGGGCAGCAACCCAACAACGGUUGUCCGAUUCAUCUGAAAAUUUCAGGGCAGAUAGAUCUUGACCUGAUAAACAUUUUUACCCCAUGUCAGAUUUGCUCUAAAUGCUUUGGUUUUUGAGUAAUAAGCCAAAAACUGCAUUUUACCCCUAUGUUCUAUUUUUAGCCGUGGCGGCCAUCUUGGUUGGUUGACCGGGUCACGCCACACAUUUUUUAAACUAGAUACCCCAAUGAUGAUUGUGGCCAAGUUUGGUUUAAUUUGGCCCAGUAGUUUCAGAGGAGAAGAUUUUUGUAAAAGUUAACGACGACGGACGACGACGGACGACGGACGACGACGACGACGACGGACGCCGGACGCCAAGUGAUGAGAAAAGCUCACUUGGCCCUUCGGGCCAGGUGAGCUAAAAAAUAGGACUACAGCAGUUCACAUUUUAUCAUAAUCUUAUGCAGCAUAAACUUGAUUGAUUGGUUUUUGGUUGAUUAACGUCCAGUGGCAAAUAUUGCAUGCCUGUUCAGGACGAGAACAAGUAAGCAAUAUAUACAAUAGAUAGGUCCUGUCAUAAUAGAGGCAAUUCGGGAUGAUGGUCGGGGAAAUUUGGACUGCCACUGGAAAAUGAGAGUAUAUUGGGUAGGGACAGACAAUUUGCCUUGCAACAGGCCACCUACGGACCCCUCAAAGAGUUGUUGCAAGGGUUGCAAGUAUGUCAUCAAAGAAAAACAGAAAAACAUACAGACAAAGCAGAUUAAAUUUAGCAAAAACGAAAUUAAAUAAGAAUACCAAAAAAUACCAUAGCACUAAAACACGGGAUGUACAAGUACCAAGUCACAUCAAAUGGUUAUU
rnacentral:lncRNA from 1 species